ACUUUUGCGGGCAGCUACACAUGCAAGUCGAGCGGAACGAUCCUAGCUUGCUAGGAGGCGUCGAGCGGCGGACGGGUGAGUAAUGCAUAGGAAUCUGCCCGGUAGUGGGGGAUAACUUGAGGAAACUCAAGCUAAUACCGCAUACGCCCUACGGGGGAAAGCAGGGGCUCUUCGGACCUUGCGCUAUCGGAUGAGCUUAUGUCGGAUUAGCUGGUUGGUGAGGUAACGGCUCACCAAGGCGACGAUCCGUAGCUGGUCUGAGAGGAUGAUCAGCCACAUCGGGACUGAGACACGGCCCGAACUCCUACGGGAGGCAGCAGUGGGGAAUAUUGGACAAUGGGGGCAACCCUGAUCCAGCCAUGCCGCGUGUGUGAAGAAGGCCCUCGGGUUGUAAAGCACUUUCAGCGAGGAAGAAUGCUUGUCGGUUAAUACCCGGCAAGGGAGACAUCACUCGCAGAAGAAGCACCGGCUAACUCCGUGCCAGCAGCCGCGGUAAUACGGAGGGUGCGAGCGUUAAUCGGAAUUACUGGGCGUAAAGCGUGCGUAGGCGGCUUGAUAAGCCGGUUGUGAAAGCCCCGGGCUCAACCUGGGGAACGGGCAUCCGGAACUGUUAGGCUAGAGUGCAGGAGAGGAAGGUAGAAUUCCCGGUGUAGCGGUGAAAUGCGUAGGAGAUCGGGGAGGAAUACCAGUGGCGAAGGCGGCCUUCUGGACGGACACUGACGCUGAGGUACGAAAGCGUGGGUAGCAAACAGGAUUAAAUACCCUGGGUAGUCCGCGCCGUAAACGAUGGUAACUAGCCCGUUGG
rnacentral:rRNA from 1 species